CGACUCUCGGCAACGGAUAUCUCGGCUCUCGCAUCGAUGAAGAACGUAGCGAAAUGCGAUACUUGGUGUGAAUUGCAGAAUCCCUUGAACCAUCGAGUCUUUGAACGCAAGUUGCGCCCGAAGCCGUCAGGCCGAGGGCACGCCUGCCUGGGCGUCACG
rnacentral:rRNA from 1 species